AUAAAAAGAGAAAAGAAGGAGAGGAUAAGCUUCUUUCAUUGUAGACUAGCAUGAAUCCAAAGGGAUGCAGAUUUUUCGUUAACCUUUACACAAAAGGAACGCCUAUACAUUAUAGUAAUAACCUUUUAUUCAGCGAGCGAAAAGGACUGUAAAAAAAAACCCCACAAACUAGAUGGAAUUCCUUAACAAAGGGACAAUCCCUGUUGACACCGUGGUAUGCGUAUAGUAUUCUAAAAAUACAGACAGCCCCAUUCUUCAUGUGUUGGGAGGGCGCGUGGGUGUGAAAAGAGAAGGAAUGAUUGCAGCCAAGAAAAAGCGAUACUUGUGGAGGUGGCAGCCAUCCACAUCAUAGCCACCCUUAGACCUCUGAUGAAGCCCAAAAUCAUUCAAAAGAAGACCAAGAAGUUCAUCCGGGACCAGUCAGACCAGUAUGUCAAAAUUACGCACAACUGGCAGAAACCCAGAGGCACUGACAAUAGGGUGCGCAAAAUAUUCAAGGACCAGAUCUUGAUGCCCAACACUGGUUAUGGGAGCAACAAGAAAACAAAGCACAUGCUGCCCAGUGGCUUCCAGGAGUUCCUAGUCCACAACGUCAAGGAGCUCGAAGUGCUGCUAAUGUGCAACAAAUCUUGCUGUGCAGAGAUUGAUCGCAAUACCUCCCCCAAGAACCACAAAGCCAUUGUGGAAAAGCAGCCCAGCUGAAGGCCAGGCUGCACAGUGAAGAAAAUGAAUAGACACCUUAUGUGCACGUCAUAAUUGUAUUAAUAAAACCAUAAAACUAUGGGA